UAUCUCUGUAGAGUCUGCAUAUCAAUAAGCGGAGGAAAAGAAACUAACAAGGAUUCCCCUAGUAACGGCGAGUGAAGCGGGAAGAGCUCAAAUUUGAAAUCUUCAAGGUUCUGACCUUGACGAAUUGUAGUUUAAAGAAGUGUUUUCUGUUAGAUGAGUAGUAAAAGUUCCUUGGAAUAGGGACAUCAUAGAGGGUGAGAAUCCCGUAUUUGACUAUUCUUUCUAGCUUUGUGAUACACUUUCAAAGAGUCGGAUUGUUUGGGAAUGCAGUCCAAAAUGGGUGGUAAAUUUCAUCUAAAGCUAAAUAUUGGCGAGAGACCGAUAGCGAACAAGUACCGUGAGGGAAAGAUGAAAAGAACUUUGAAAAGAGAGUUAAACAGUACGUGAAAUUGUCAAAAGGGAAGCGUUUGACACCAGUGUUGUUUUUCCGAAAAUCAAUUAAAAAUUGAUUCAUGCCAGGUUGUAUUGACCUUAUCAGCUUGCAAUUUGGUUUUGGGUCUCUUUUUGACGCACUUUUCGGUUAACAAGUCAACAUCAAUUUCCUUUGCUGUAAAAAGGUAAGAGGAAGGUGGCUUCAAUUUCGGUUGAAGUGUUUAUAGCCUUUUAUCUCUGCAGUCGGGGAGAUUGAGGUCUGCAGCGUAGAUCCUUCGGGGCUAGAUACAUUUAUGCUAAGUUAUAGCUUUUCAUAGACAACUUGUUGACUAUGUUUAGUCAUGUAGCUUACUCGUAAGUGCUAUUUUACCUACGCUUAGGAUGUUGAGCGCAUGUCUCUCUCU
rnacentral:rRNA from 1 species